CCAGGAUGCUGUUCUAAAUAAGUGUGCAGACCUAGAAAAAGGACAAAUAUCAAGUAAAUCUUGCCUCUAAUGGCCCAUCAAGUAAUAUUCGUGGAGAUUAGCUGAGAGAACCUGUGAAUCUCAGGACAUAUAAAUAACCCUCCUUUUGACAGGCAACACAUAGACAUUUUUUUUAAGAGCUAAAUGUCAGGAAAUCCAUUUCUGGAGGUCCACAAGGAGACAGGCCCAUCAACACGCUGCUACCUCGGCGAUAAAUUUGGGAAUGUAAAAUACAGAUCAUGUCUUUGAAUUUUCACAUCCUCAUCAGCGACCUCAAAAAAUCAAAGACUGGGGAGUCCUCACUUAAAUCAGCUGCUGCUACCCUCUCUGGAAGCAUCUCCAUGCUGAUGUUGUCUCCCAGAUGGUCACAGUGGGAGGGGAUGGAAAGGGAGGCCACCUCAGACCUGCCUCAGUGCACUCGGGAAGAGAACGAGGGGACUGCAGCCUCGCAGGGACCGCGCUGACAGCAUGAGCAUUGUGUCCCUGGGUCCCCCCAGGGAGGAGCGUCUGGACAUGGGUGUGUGCCUGGGCUCAGAGACGCUGUGCUAUCUGUGAGCUGUUUCACCCAAGAUCCAUUUAAUUUGAAAGUUCAGCUUUGAAUCUAAAUCCAAAGGGAUAAAAAUAAUUCUCACCCUAAAAAUCUGGAUGAUUUCUAAUGCUUCUCAGGUUAAGGCUCUGAAAUCUCCACAUCUGAAGCCUGGACACCACCCACCUCAGGGCACAGGAGGAGAUGCCGGGUCUGCAGGAGGUUUGGGAAGGGAUUCCAGGGAGCUGCUUGCAGGACACCUUUCUUCCCACACACAGGCACGCCGGCCACCCUUACUCUGUGGCUGAGGUCAGACAGCAGCAGGAAGCUACGGCAAUGGCCACUGCCUGCUCCUUUGGGGCCGUUUAUUUGCUUCCUUUAGCUGGAUCUUUCUCCUGCCCUGAGGAAGUCCCCCUCAGACCCCCCUUCCAGCCGUUUGCUGUGCUGCACUCACUGGAUCCUUGUGCCACCCCGGACAGCACAUGGGCGAUUCUGCACAUGCCCCGGGCGAUCACUGCAUCAGACCUCAGGUGGAUGGAACAGGGUCCGAUGGGGCAGGCACUGGCCUUGGGGCUGAAGGGCAGAGGGCCUCACGCUGUGGUGCCUGACUGGACCUCACGGGGGACCACAGAGAGACACAUGGCUGCCCCUGAGAAGCCACGUGGCUGGCAAUUACAUAACAUGAGGUUGGAAGUGACAGGUGGCAUGAGAGUCUUGGAGGAAGGGAGGAAGAAUAGAGGAGAGAAGGCGGUCUCCAGCUGGGGUUGGGGAGGCUCUGCAGGAGGAGGCUGCCUAUGAGGAGGAGGAGCCACGGGCAGGGCCGGAAAGGACCAGGCGAUGUACAGACAUCUCCUGAGAGAAAGCCAGAGGGGCCAACGCAGAGGUGUAUGCACGGGAGCUUUCACACUGGCACACUCAGGAGCAACCCGAUGUCUGAUCGUGUGGGAAGUGUGUAUAGACUGGCAAUUCACCAGAGACCAGGGUGGGCCCGCGUGGAGGCCAGCGAGGAGGGGCAGCUGCAGGGAAAGUGGAGCAGGGCCCACGGAGGAGCGAAGCCGAGGCUGCGGAGAUGAUGGCAGGAGAGGACGUUUCAAGGUCACCUUACAUCAAGUGCCGGCAGGGGUCGGGCAGGGCCAAGGCUCCACGGAGGGUAUCAGCAGGCUUAGCUGAAACUGGAAAUGGAACAAUG
rnacentral:lncRNA from 1 species